GUACAUGACCUCUUGCAGUGCA
rnacentral:miRNA from 1 species